GCACUGCAGUAUCAGGAGGUCGAUGCAAGGAGUGGCCAGAGCAAGCUCCUAGUCCAUCUCCCUGCUCCAAAAAUCCACUUUAUACACUGUCCUUCGGUAGAGGAUGCAACCGGCUUUGAAUGA